CAGAAGAAGUAGUUAGAGAACCAGGAGGAAGAGGCAACAGAUGACAUUCACUCUUUCCCUUGUCUUGCCUUCUCGUAGGAAAGUCAACUCAAUGAGAAUGGAAGUAACUUAGGGUAAAGGAAAUUAAAAAUUAAAGAGGAAGAGGAGGAGAGUAGGAGAAGAAAAGAGAGAAAUGAGUGCUUAUGUGGGGGUGUGGGGCUAACGGAGAUGAUUACAAAGAAAAAUGAAAGAGGGAGAGGAAGGGAGGAAAAAGAAAGGGAAAAAGGGAAAUGAGUGGUUUUGUGGAGGGUAGGUGCAACGCCUGAAAAGGAAGAGUGAAUGGGAUUAGGGUUUUAAAUUAAAAAAAGUAAAAAUAAAAACAAAUUAACUUAGGGUUAGUUUUGGAAAUAAAAACAUUUGGGGAGGUAUAGGAAGAAAAUUGUGGGGGUGUAGGGAGUAAUGCUCUUAUUUUUUUUAAAAAAAGCCUGAUGCUGGCCCAAAUCUAGUGCAGAUUGCUGAUCCAAUUUUAGGUCUUGAGAUUUGGAUUAAAAUAUAAGAGAAUCUGUUUUAGAAUUUUAAUUAAAAUUAUAAAAUAAAGUAAAAUUAAUAAUUAA
rnacentral:lncRNA from 1 species